GUUUGUGGAAGGAAUGCUUAACAUUUGUUACAAUGCCAUUGAUCGUCAUAUUGAAAAUGGUAAAGGAGAUAAGGUUGCAAUCAUCUAUGACAGUCCUGUUACAAAUACCAAAGCAACUAUAACCUAUAAAGAAGUUCUGGAGCAGGUCUCCAAGCUGGCUGGUGUUUUGGUCAAGCAUGGUAUCCAGAAAGGCGACACUGUGGUCAUCUACAUGCCAAUGGUCCCACAAGCGAUGUACACCAUGCUGGCAUGUGCGAGGAUAGGAGCCAUCCACAGUCUCAUAUUUGGGGGAUUUGCAUCCAAAGAAUUAAGUAGUCGCAUUGAUCAUGCAAAGCCCAAGGUGGUGGUUACAGCAUCAUUUGGUAUUGAACCUGGAAGGAAAGUAGAGUACAUACCACUUCUCGAGGAAGCGCUGAGAACAGGACAUCACAAACCAGAUAAAGUUCUCAUUUAUAAUCGCCCAAAUAUGGAAACGGUUCCUUUGGCCCCAGGCCGUGACCUCGACUGGGAUGAAGAGAUGGCACAAGCGCAGUCACACGACUGUGUUCCGGUGCUUUCCGAGCAUCCACUGUAUAUUCUUUAUACAUCUGGGACAACAGGGCUGCCCAAGGGUGUGGUUAGACCCACUGGGGGAUAUGCUGUAAUGCUAAACUGGACAAUGUCCUCUGUAUAUGGACUUAAACCUGGAGAGGUAUGGUGGGCAGCUUCUGACUUAGGCUGGGUUGUCGGACAUUCCUAUAUCUGUUAUGGACCUCUUCUACAUGGGAACACAACUGUUUUAUAUGAGGGGAAGCCUGUGGGAACACCAGAUGCUGGCGCCUAUUUCCGUGUGCUCGCGGAGCAUGGAGUAGCUGCUUUGUUUACAGCGCCGACUGCAAUUAGAGCAAUCCGUCAGCAGGACCCUGGGGCAGCCUUGGGGAAGCAGUACUCUCUGACAAGGUUCAAAACAUUAUUUGUGGCUGGAGAGCGAUGUGAUGUGGAGACCCUGGAAUGGUCCAAAAAGGUCUUCAGAGUACCUGUCCUAGACCAUUGGUGGCAGACUGAGACUGGAUCCCCAAUUACAGCAUCGUGCAUGGGAUUAGGUAAUUCUAAAACACCUCCUCCAGGACAAGCAGGAAAAAGUGUUCCAGGAUACAAUGUUAUGAUAUUGGAUGACAACAUGCAAAAACUGAAGGCUCGGUGUUUAGGAAAUAUUGUGGUUAAGUUGCCAUUACCACCUGGGGCUUUCUCAGGACUCUGGAAGAAUCAGGAAGCAUUCAAGCAUUUAUACUUUGAGAAGUUUCCUGGAUACUAUGACACUAUGGAUGCUGGUUACAUGGAUGAAGAAGGCUAUCUGUAUGUUAUGUCUCGAGUUGAUGAUGUAAUCAAUGUUGCAGGUCACAGGAUUUCUGCAGGUGCCAUUGAAGAGUCGGUUCUUUCCCACGGCGCCGUGGCCGACUGCGCGGUGGUGGCCAAGGAGGAUCCUUUGAAAGGUCAUGUUCCGUUAGCGCUCUGUGUUUUGAGAAAAGAGAUAAAUGCAACAAAGGAACAAGUUUUGGAAGAACUUGUGAGUCAUGUUAGACAGAGCAUUGGCCCUGUGGCUGCUUUUCGAAAUGCUGUGUUCGUCAAACAGUUACCCAAAACUAGGUCUGGCAAAAUUCCCCGCUCAGCGCUGUCUGCCCUUGUCAAUGGCAAGCCGUAUAAGGUCACACCUACCAUCGAAGACCCCAGCAUUUUUGGGCACAUAGAAGAAGUACUGAAGCAGGCAUGACUUGUUUUUCUCAUUUUGAGUCAAUUUCCUAGCGGGAGUGAAGUUUUGGGGAUUAUUUCCCAGAAAUAAUUAUUUAAAUAGAAUUUCUUACAAAGUGACAUGUGACUUGCAAAGCUGGGUCUCACAGUGUGUACUUGAAGGCUAGUGGAAGACCUUUGUCUUCUGUGUGAUUAGACCCAGUUAGCAUCUUUAUCAAUUGCCUGUAACCUGGCUCAGUUGAGGUUGACUAGCACUUUAGAAAAAAAAUGUAUCUAAUGUAUGAUUUUUAAAAUUAUACUCCCCCCAAAAGCAUUUUAAUUGAAAGUCACAUUGAUAUACAGCUACUUUCUGAAAUUGUGAAUCUGCAGCUUGGAGCCAAAAUCUAAAAGCUCAAGUUGCAGCCAGAAAAUAACUAUUUUUCUUAUAGGAAUUCUGAAUAUUUUCUAAUAUUCUUGAGAUGUCCACAUGCAUGGUUAUUUUAAAGGAAAUGGCUGAAAUGGGAUGGUUUAGGGAAUCAUCUAGAGAGAAGAUCUGUCUAGUCAUCCAUUUCCUGGGGGAAGGCUGGAGAUCCGUGUAAGAGAUGUCGUGGUUAACCUAAAUCCAGCUGGUAGAGUUUCUGAGGACCCAGGCAUCAUGCUGAUUCCAUGCACCUCGCGGGGAGGAAACUGCCUUCUCCAGGUUGACCCACGCCUGAAGUUCUUGUCAUCACUCUGCCAGUACAAUUAUAAUUUAUGUAAUGAGAACAAGACAACUAGUCCAGGUGCUUAAAACUGUGUGCCUAGAAACUGAUUAUUUACAUUCGGUCUGUAAAGCGUGUAUAUAGACUACUACGCUUUAAGAGUUCUAUUGAUUCCAUAAUGAGAACACCGGAGAUUGAAGUCAUAUGAAAAUGGUUUUAUAAUAUGACUUCAAACGUAAGGUUUAUCAUCUAUAAAAAUAAAUAUUUUUGAAAACCUAAAAUAAACCCCAAAGUUUUUCUGAAAACUGUAUUGGAUUAUCUUUGUUACACGUUUUUCCAACUGAUUUUAUUGUAUGAGAUGAUACUUAAUUCAGUAAGUGUUGGGUGAACUGCAUUUGACUCACACACUUGAAUAACUAUUUUAUGAAUUUUGCUUUUAUGUAUACAAGAGAGAUUCAUUAUGCAAAUCUAUGUAUUUGGUGUAGUCUGGUGGCUCAUAUGGAUACUAUAACCUAUACUAUGUGUAAGAAACUUAAUUUGUCAUUUGUUAGAUUUCAGCUGACAGAGAAUUACCUUAUAAUUUGUUGAAAAACCUGUACAGCCUAGACACCAUCCUAAUAAAAACAUGCUCCUUAGAUGCCAUUAAAAGCAUAAUGUAAUUCUAGAUGCUGUUUUACAAACAUAAUUGUGGUUGCUGAUUCUGUUAUAUUUUAAUGAUAUAAUUUCUUCUCUCUAUAUGCAUACACAAAGGAUGUAGUUACUUUCUCUCAAUUGAAAACAUCAGUAUGUAUCUUACCAUUUAACUACUACUAUUCUUUGUGUCUAAUUCUAAGGAAAAAGUUAAUCUUUCCAUCUGGGUUUCUCUUCUAGGGAAAGACACUGUAUUUCCUGAAGUUAUAUCUAAGUAUGUUGACCCUAGUAGCUCAGGUGACUUCAUUAUGCCAAAAUGAACAGGAUAUGCCAACAUAUAUAGAAUAGGUCGAUAUUCAGCUGAAAUUCUCAUUGUUAUGAAUAACACUAAGAUGUUUUCCAUCACAGAUUGCUAAUCUGACACUCAAAGCCAUUCUGGGAAGAGUUAAAUCUAUCCACUGUUCUAUAAGAAUACUUACCAAUAUCUAAAUUUUGUUUACAUUUAGUAAUCAUCCUACAGCUUAAGGGAUAUCUGCUAUUCUUUUUCUCAACUGAUGGGUUUUACAGUGUCCUAGACCUAAUGUUUGCAAGUGUAGAAAAGAAGCAAGAGUUUCACAGCAUGGCUGACUUCUUGAAUCUUGGAGAAGUUGUUGCAUAAAUGUAUAUUCUUCGGUUCUACAAAAUACUACAUUAUGUUGCAGAAAUAUACAACUCUUAUAAUGUAUAAAGUAAGAGCCUAAAAAUAAGCCAGUACAUUAACAGUUCAAAUGACGAGUCCUUACUUUUGCUCUUCCAACAUUGUGUUACUGCAGAAAGUUAAUGGGAAUUGCAAAUAACAUCAGGGAAAAAGUGUCCGUGAGAAGAGGUUAGAAGUUAUCCUCUUAACUGAAGUCUGUAGAAGCACUUUCCAAAGUAUUUCAGUGGAAUCUGCAUAUUAUUCCAGCCCCAGAAAGAAGUCCACUCUAGUUUUGGGCAAGCUGGUUAGCUAUUUUUGUUCACACUCAAAGAAACAAAAAACUAGAAUAAUUUGCAUUGAUUUGCAUGAUAAAUUUGUAUGCUGUGUUCUUAAUAAUAAAAGUAGCCUGAUAUUUUAAAGGCAGAUAGUCCAUGGCAUUCAGAGCUUUCUGCUGGUUCAUUUCUUUAGGAAGCAACACUAACUCACAAAGGCUGUGUUUGCACCUGGACGCAUUUUAGAAUGUAGUAAUAUGACAGAGCUUUAUUUUGCAACUUUUAAGCAUGGAGAAAAAUUGUAUUUAAAUGUAUGUAUCGGUUUAUGCAGACUAUCUUUUUGAUUCAACAAGAAUAAGGAUUAAAAAUAUUAUCAAUUUAUAAAAUGAAGAUCAGCUAAGUGUUAAACUGCUUUUUAAAAAUAUUAAGCAUUAUCCUUAUUGGACAGGAGUAUGAUUUUUUUAGGAAAUUAGCUGAGGUCAAGACUGUAGAGCUUAUCUGUCUAUAACCUCCUCCAUAAAGCGCAGCUGGCUUUUAUAAUACCAAGAUCAUCUGCCCAUUCAUAUAUUUAUAAGGAAAACUCAAUAUUGAUAUCUAAAAUGAUGAACACGUCCCAUUUAUUGAAAGCAAGUUUUCUCUUCAUUUUAAUAUCCUAAAAUUUCCUGUGAAGAUAUGCUGAUAUUUAAGAAGUAGGCACAUGCCUUAUUAAAAAGCUGAAUUUAGUGUUGUCAUUGCAUAUAAUUAAAAAAUGUUGCUGAACAUUAUUGUGCAGUCAGAGCUCAUGAAAGAAGUCUGUUUUUGAAAUAACUGCUUAGUGUUUCUAACUGCUGAUACAAUAUUUAUGAAUUCAUAAAGUUCUAUCCAAAGUCAAAUGAGUGAA